UGAAUUUUUGAAACUAUGUUUGACUGUUUAAGCAAAAGUCAUAGCACUCUCUGAUGCAGUUAUAAAUGUAUAUAGAGGGGAUAUUUAAAGACACUAUAUUAUAAAUGGAGGAAGAUAUAGGAUGUAAAGGGAGAUAAGGUCCUAUACUUUGGUUGAGCAGUUAAAUGACAUUAUCAGUGAUCAUUUAACCAUGUAUAUACAUACACAGACAUAUACUCAAAGUGCACUUAAAUACAGUAUGUGUACUCCAAACAAAAUUCUUAAAUGAAAUAAAAGUCUCUUGGAGGGGCAUCUGGGUGGCUCAGUUGGCUAGGCAUCUGACUUCUGCUGAGGUCACAAUCUCAGGGUUUGUGAGCUUGAGCCCCACCCCUCGCUUUGCACUCUCUCUCCCUUUCUCUUUGCCCCUUGCUCACGUGAGCUCUCUCUCUCAAACGAAUGAAUGAACAAAUGAAUAAAUAAACAUCUGCGUUAUGUAUGUCCGGGCCUGAAGUCCAUCAGCCAAGACUUAUUUUGGUGAGUCAAAGGAGCAAAAAUCUGGCAGUUUCCAGUUGCAGUGUGGGCUAUCCAAUGUACCCUGUUUUAAAAUCCAGGGUUCAAAAUCAACAAAUGCAGAAUAAAAGUUGGGACUUGACUGCCUUUAUUUAGCCUGACGACCGCAAUGCUUGAAGCAGUCUUUUGACCUGGAUCUUGGGUUUGUGGAUUCAGGGACUGUUUCUUCAAGGAAGCCAAAUCACAAUCAGAAGGUUGCUUGCUAAACACAGAGCCAGAAGUGGAAACGGAUUAAAUUUCUAACGGUAUGAAGCCAAGAUUGCCUGAUGCAUCCACUGUGUGUGUAGUAAGUCCUUUAGUCAUUUCAGUUACAUAUAAGACGACCAGCAUGUGCCAGACGCCGAGAUAGAAAGCAAAAGAGACUCAGUACGUGCCCUCAUACAGCCUACACUCUGUCAAGGGAGACAGUUAAUUGAUACGAUAGUGUGACAGUUACUAUAAUGGGGGAAGUACAGGCCACUACAGGAAAACAGGAAAAACUAAGGUAACAUUUUGGGUGGGGGUUUGGUUUUGGGAAAGUAACCCCAAAGAAGUGG